AUCGCUUCUCGGCCUUUUGGCUAAGAUCAAGUGUCGUAUCUGUUCUUAUCAGUUUAAUAUCUGAUACGUCCCCCAGCGGGGGACUACAUAUUAAGCGGAUUUUUUAGAACAGGGAGUCGGCAAAGGAGCUUGCUCCAUCCGCUCCACGCAUCGACCCAGUAUUGCAGUGCCUCUGGUAGCGGUGCACUUUCU
ensembl:snRNA U2 U2 spliceosomal RNA